CUAGGGUUCCCGGGUGGUUUCCCCGGGAAGGCACCAGGGGUCCGCGGGACCAGAGGAGGGUAGGGGCGGCGUUCACAGCACCAACUAGUUGGACCGCUGGGGAGACGACCGGAGGGUCAUCAAGGCUCCUCCUUCUGAAGCCCCUAGUGCCCAGCAUGGCCUGCCUCGUGGGGUGACCUGGGACGAAGGUUGGGAGCUCAGGGUGGACAGCCUUUAUGCAGAGAAACAAAACCUGUGAGGGACACACCGGUGACCACGUGACAAGAAAAGUGUGCAAGUGAGGGGCUGAAAAGCACAGCCCGGGAAUGGGCGUGAGCCGGUGUUAACACCAGAGAAAGCUGCAUUCAAGGUUUCUCCUGAGGGUUCCCCUGGGCCUGGUUGCUGCCAGUUGAAAUAGGGACCUUCGACGAAGUUGCAAGAAAAGCAUUUUGGGGACCCCCAUAUGGGAGGAUGAGAUGCAGUGGUAAGAUUUAU